rnacentral:lncRNA from 1 species
UCACUUUCUAUAAUGGGAUGUCCUAUUACAAAUGUCUCAUUCCUAUUUUGACAAUAUAUUCUUUUCCUAUAUUUAAUAUUUAAAUAAUUUUCAUUAACCCACUUUAUCUACCUUUUACACAUUUCUUAAACUUCGUGCCCAAAAAUAAUGGGACAUUUGUAAUGGACGGAAGGAGUAAUAAUUUAAAAUUUAAAUUUUAUUUUAAAAUAAUUUAAAAUCUAACAAAUACAAAGGAAAAACAACCCUCAAAUUUCCAUCCCCUUCUCUUCCCUCUUCUCCGACGGUCACCCCAGCCCAAUCCCAUUCAUUUUCGACCAGCUUGAGCCGCCGGAUAAACGUGUGUUGCUGAGUUUUCGCCUGUACCAUCGCUACCCAACAACUCUUCUGGAUACCCCUGGCAUGAAGCCCAAGAAGUGAAACCUCAAACUAAUAAGCUUCUUCCUCUUCGACGCCGACGCCGCAUCUUCGACAAGGCCAAAAUCACGCUGCCUUACAAUGCCAGCAAUUAGCUAAAGGGAACAGUGGUUGGGGGAUAGUGAUGGGUACGAAGGUAAUUGACAAAGAAAGUGGGGGAGAUGAGGUUGGGGGGGGAGAAGCGAGGGGAUGAAGGAAUUUGCAGAGAAUAAUGGUGGAUUAGUGGGGAUGAAGGUAAUUGACCGGGGGGAUGGGGAUUGAUGCAUCGUCAAAGUUGGGGGUGAUUUCUUUUCAUUUUUUAGUUCUCUUAUACUUUUAUUUUUAUUCAUUAUUUAUUUUUACUAUAAUUUUAUAAAGGAUAAAUUAGUCCAUUUACACAAAAUAUGAUUACAGUUAAUAUAUUUUUCUUUUUAUGGUUAUUAUUAAUCUUUUACUAAGUUAAGUGGUUAUUUACAGCUAUUAACACUUUUAUUUGAAAAUUAAGUUUAAUUUGCA